AUGCCAUGAUGGGGGCACGCAGUGAUCUACUCUUGGAUGCGUUGCCAUGCCUUCGAGAUGGACUCGUCAUUGUGGUGCUAGAAACUUGAUAUCUUGUUCUGGAGGGC
rnacentral:snoRNA from 1 species